rnacentral:lncRNA from 1 species
UGACAUUGCGAUAGAGGAAGCUGUGGACGGGUUGCUGGUUUCCAGAAAAACAAGAGGACCUGUGGUGUCUGCAUCGAACAUAUUCCUCAGAGAACCAGAAAUCUCCAGUGGAGAAAGAGGUGGGUUCUUGUUAAGCGCUGGAAAUAGGCUGAAAUGUAAAUGUGUAUUCCUUUCUGCAACGUGCCUAAUUGCCCAUAAAUGUCAUUAAGUCGAGAAAUGUUUUCCACCAAAUUAACUUUGACUCGUGAUGUCUAAUUAGCUGGAGAUGCUGAAAGAUAACAACUGAUCAGUCACUGUUUAAGAAAACAUACUUAAUGGUUGACUUUUUUGUUAGCAGCCAUGUUGAACCAGGUAUUGUAGCUGUCAAAACGGAGCAUUAUCAGAGCAAUUAAGGACAAUACCUCGGUGCAGCUUCCAACCAAGAUAAUUUGACAGCUCUUUCACAGGCAAGAAGUGCAGUUGAACCUAAACUUUCUGUGAAUUGGUUUUCCCCUUGCAUGGAAGAAGCUUUU